GACGAACGCUGGCGGCGUGCUUAACACAUGCAAGUCGAACGAAGUGGCGAACGGGUGCGUCAUAUAUAGCUAAACUGCCCCUUGCUGGAGGACAACAGUAAGAAAUGACUGCUAAUACUCCAUAGCAAGGGGUGAGACUAUAUCGUAUCAGCUAGUCGGUGGGGUAACGGCCUACCGAGGCUAUGACGCGUAACUGGGCUGAGAGGAUGAUAGGUCAACUUGGAACUGAGACACGGUCCAAACUCCUACGGGAGGCAGCAGUAGGGAAGAUUGCGCAAGGGGGGAAACGCUGACGGGGCAGCGCCGCGUGGAGGAUGACACUUGUCGGAGCGUAAACUCCUUUUGUUAGGGAAGCGGUACCCAACGAAUAAGCACCGGCUAACUCCGUGCCAGCCGCCGCGGUAAUUC
rnacentral:rRNA from 1 species